UAGGGAAUCUUCGGCAAUGGACGAAAGUCUGACCGAGCAACGCCGCGUGAGUGAAGAAGGUUUUCGGAUCGUAAAACUCUGUUGUUAGAGAAGAACAAGGACGUUAGUAACUGAACGUCCCCUGACGGUAUCUAACCAGAAAGCCACGGCUAACUACGUGCCAGCAGCCGCGGUAAUACGUAGGUGGCAAGCGUUGUCCGGAUUUAUUGGGCGUAAAGCGAGCGCAGGCGGUUUCUUAAGUCUGAUGUGAAAGCCCCCGGCUCAACCGGGGAGGGUCAUUGGAAACUGGGAGACAUGAGUGCAGAAGAGGAGAGUGGAAUUCCAUGUGUAGCGGUGAAAUGCGUAGAUAUAUGGAGGAACACCAGUGGCGAAGGCGGCUCUCUGGUCUGUAACUGACGCUGAGGCGCGAAAGCGUGGGGAGCAAACAGG
rnacentral:rRNA from 1 species